rnacentral:lncRNA from 1 species
CACAAUUUUGACUCAAUUAAUAUUCUGCAUAGUUCAAGAUAGGCCCGUGGUAGGCUUUGACAAAGACGACAUUGUGGAAAUACAAGUUAACGUGGAGAUUUGUGGAAUGCGCCUUGCAUUUUUUUGACCAAAACAAAGUUGAUGUCCCGAUGAUGAAGAAGUGUCAUCCUGACAAUGCGACCACCAAUGUCACAAUGAGAAGAUUCACCACGUCUGGAUGACUCGAUGAAGGGCGUCUUGAUGAGGCAACAGCCACGUCACGACAUAGCAAUGUGUCAUGUAAUUUUCUCGAUUUUCUUCUUCAAGUCAAAUUUUGAUUGUAAUGCCCAAUUUUAGCCCGGGCCCAGUACUAAAAAUAAACAAUUAAAAAACACAAAAAAAGAAGAAGAAGAAAACCAAAAUAAUUAAACAAAAUGUCCACAGUCCAGGUCUUUAGUACAAAAUAGCCCAAAUAUACUGUACAAGCCCAAUAUUCAACCCAACCUAAGUCUACUAAGACCCUAAAACCAAAUUAACCCAAUUACAACCCAAAGCUACAAGGCCCAAACGACUCAAAAUACUUUAGAAACAGAAACUCUAGGGUUUUUCUGCCUUGUGCCGCAGCCUUUAGCCGCCAUACAGCCCCAACGCUAUUUGUGCCUUCACGUCAACACGCCGUAUGCCACCCACAUGCCUAGUGCCAGCACACGCUCCCUACCUGCGAAAGAAAACAAGAAAACAGCAGCAGAGCAGAAACCAAUAGAGAAAACAAAUUUUUUUGUAUUUUUUUUCUUUUGAUUAUUCGGCUAUAAAGCCCUUUUAUUUUUUAUUGUAAGGGUUCCUUUUUUUUACACGCACAUUACGCACACUAAAAUACAUACUGAAUAGAAAAUUCAGAAACAAUUGCAAGAAGGUGAUUUCGAAUGCCUUGUAUUUAUUUCUUUCGCAUCUGUUUCAUCUUCCUUUCGUGUUUCGCAUGUGUUUUUUAGUAUAAUGAAGUAAAAAAGAAAACAUACCUUAAAACGAGCCAUCGGAGACCACAUAUUCUUCGUUGAAAUUGAAGCUUGAGAUAGGUUUUCGGGGCUAAAAAUCUGACCUUUUGAGGCGAAGUUUAGAAUAGAGAAAUGGAACGAUUUCAUUGCUAGCCAUUAUUCGUCGAUUUCAAUGGUGGAAUAGUGGUAGUUGAAUGGACAAAGGGGGAUGGAAAAGCCUCAAAGCUGUGGCACCGAAACCCUAGCAAAUGGGUACUCGGUUUGUGGCUUGAAAAAUGGUUGAUUGCCAUUCUUUUUUUUUUAGAAUAAAACAAAACGGCGCCGUUUCAAGGGGGAAGGAUCCACGCGUCAACCCAUUCCAGGACCCGAACCCGUGCCUUUGUGCUUCAAAUGGGUUAUUUGCAAUAUAAGUCCUUUCCCUUUUGCACUGCGUUUCAAUCAGCUUAUAUUUGUAUUUCUUUUGUUUUUAAAUUUUUCCUAUAAUUUGCGCAUGAACUCGAUUUGGUCCCCGCUUCAAUGCUGCGUUUUGGGGUCUGGAUUAUUUCUAGUUCCAGUCCCUAUGCAUUUGCAGGCAUGUCGCAUGAGUCCUUAUUUUGGUUCUAACAGCUUAUUUUUUAAAUUAUCCUUCUUAUUUUAACUCGAUUUUAAUUUAGUUUUCUAUUAGUAUAGCCUAUUAUUUUACAAUACAUUUAACAUUUGUACGUGUGUUGAUUCAUUUUAAUAUUUGUACAAUAUUUCUUUAAAUAUUCUAUAUAUAUUUGUACAUGUAUUAUUUUAAUUAAAGUUUGUAAUUUGUAAUGUUUAUUACUUUAAAGUUCUUAAUAUUUUUAUAUAUGUGUUGAGCUAUUUCAAUAACUUUAUUUUGUUUUUAUAAAAUCACCAUUUUGAAGUUCAUUUUUAUACCAUAUUAUUUUAAAUAUUUAUAUAACACUUGUUCAAAUGUUUUAUAUGUGUUUGUACAUGUAUAAUAAAAUUAAUUUAAUUCUAUGUACAUAUUAAAUCCCAUGCUAAUUUAUUUUGUAAGUUCUUUUAAAAUUUUCCUAUAUAUAUCUUUAUGUACAUAAGUCAUUUUUUAGAACAUAUUUUACUACAUAUUGUUUUGAUUUAGAAUCUCACAUUUAAAUACUAUUUUUAUAUGUAUAUACGUUUGCCAACUUUAAAUGGAUACAUCAUCUUCAAAAUGUUUAUGCAUAUUAUUUGACUCAAAUUUCCUCUUUUAUAAUCUUUAUUUUAAUAAUUAUUUAUGUGUUUGUAGUUUGUCUAUAUUGUUUUGUAUAUCAUAUGUGUUUGGUUGUCUUUAUCGUUUUUUAUAGGUUAUUAUAUUAUAUUUUCGAUUGGUACUUGGUGUUGUUAUCUUAAUUUUAUUUAUCUAGGUUUAAAAACUUGUUGGGGCUUUUACUUUGAUUUGUUUCUUUAGUUAUAUUUUUAGCUUUCACGAUUUUGAUUGUUAAUGUUUGGAUGUGAGCUUACUAUUAUUUUAUGCACGUUAAAAUUUUUUAUUUGUUUAUUCAUCUUUACACUAUUUUUAUUCAUUAAUAGAGUUCGCUACCCAUGCAUAUUAUCUCAUGUUUAUAAUUUCGCCUUUUACUUGCAAGUGACUCAUUGGGAUUUUAAACUUAUUAAUCUAAAAUAAUUAUUCCAUUUUAUUUCAAUUCAAACUAAUGCGUUUUAAGCUGGUUUUACAAUUAUUCAUUUGAAAAUUCUUUAAAACAAAGGCAAUAUUUGAUGUUUGGGAAAUCAGGAAAUCGUGCCCUAUCGUGCUGGGUUUCGAUUUUGUGUUUGUUCAAAAUAGUCGAAUAUUCCUUUAGAAUUUUACUCGUGUUUCCCAAAUUUUAAAACAAGGCUAUGUUCAAUUUUUUGAAACUCGGGGAAUCGUGCCCUAUCGUGCUGGGUUUUGUUUUCCUGUUUGUUCAAAAUAACCGAAUAUUCCUUUUGAAUUUCACUCUAGUUUUCUAAAUUUUAAAGCAAGGCAAUGUUCAAUGUUUAGAAAUUCGAGGGAUCGUGCCCUACCGUGCUGGAUUCCGAUUUUUCGUUAGACUAAAUAAUCAGGCAUCCCUUUGUAAUCUUCAACAUAUAAACCUUUGGAAGUCAAAAAUUUAUAGUGUUUUUGAGGGUAUAAAGGAUCGUGUCCUAUCGUGCUGGAUGUGGUGCUGUAUAACUUUGAAACAAGAGAAUUUUGACAACCAACUUAAGCCAUUCAAAUGUUUUAAAAUGAACCAUAUUUCAAAAAUAGCUUUAAAUCUUAGGCAUAAGAACAGUACUUAAUCAAUUUGGUACCAAUUUUGGGCGUAGUGGGGAUGCUAAUCCUUCCUCAUACGUAAUUGGCUCCCGAACCCGUUUUCUUAAAUUUACGUAGGCCAAAAUUGGUUUUAAUAAAACAAAGUGCUUUAUUAGGUGACCCAAUCACACCUAAAUAAAAGAUUGGUGGCGACUCCACAAUUUGUUAUAAAAAUUCGAUCCCCGUUUUUUAAAAUCAAGUCAAAAAAAUAGUUUCGACAGCUUGGCGACUCCGCUAGAGAUGUGAACAAAAGAGUCAAGCCAUAAAAUCGAUUAUUUGUUGUCCUUUUGUUGAAGUAUUGAAAAUUUGUUUUGAAAAUCAUGAUUGCAUUUGUUUGUAUGAUUGUUAUGGUUCGGGUCUUGUAGAAUAAUAUUGCAUUGCAUUGCAUGACCGCUGUGGUCACACCUUCUAAGUGGGAGUAAGAAACUAUGCUUUCGUGAGGUUUUCACGUUCGCAUGGGCUAGUGGAUUUCUUCUGGGAUACAUCCGUACUUAUGUUUUUUUGAUAUUUUUAUCUCCGCAUGGUCUUAGGGAAAUGUAUUCCUCUGAAUCGAACUCGAUCCAUAUGAGCCUAUAAUGGGUGAGGAUUGAGGAAUCUACUGGUUCAGGUACCUUAUCUCUAGAACUGAACCACAUAUAGUGAACCUUAAGAGCUAUCCUUGGGUAAAGCCGCAUCAAGCCUUAAUAUUUGCCCAUACGUGUGUUAUAAUCAUCUUUGUUGUUCUUGUAUUUUAUCACUUAUAUUUGAUACUAAAUUGUGUUUUGUUUUGAUUGUGUUUUGCAUGACAUUGCAUACUAAAGGAGGUGUUGAUUCGUAUUCGAUUACUAAGUUAGAAAGUUUGACAUGGAGAAUGAAUUUCUUAAUAAAGUUGAGGAUAAUGCAGCCGUCCGUGCAUGGUCAGAGAAGUUACAAUCGGAGAAAGGGGAUAGCUUGGCAGAAGGAUAUACAUCAGAGUCGCAGGAAUUCACUUGCGUCAAUGCAGCACAGAAUGAGUUGCAAGAGGUGAGAGAUAUAUUGGCUCGUUGGGAUGAAGGGACCAAGCAGUUGUUUUAUCAAAGCUAUGGUGAUAUAUCCUACUUGCUAGAUAUUAGGGUGGACAAUCACUUGUUCAGAGUUAUGGUUCAAUUUUGAAAUUCUGCUUACAAGUGUUUCACUUUUGGAGAGGUGGAUUUAGUGCCUACUGUGGAGGAAUAUACUACUCUACUCAGGUGUCCAAAAGUGCAAGUUAGAAAAGCUUAUUCCAAGGUUUUUAAUGGUCAAACUUUCGCAAAAAAAUUGAUAAAUAUUUCAGGGAUAAGCGAGCCUUGGGUCAUUGCUCAGAUUCAACAAAAGGGAGAUAGUAAAUGUAUCCCUUGAGAGAAUUUGCGAGAUUUGAUUUUAACACAUCCGGAUGAAAGAAAGAGGGUCGACAUCUUCUCCUUAAGCAUCUAUGGAUUGGUAAUUUUUCCUAAGGCUUUAAGGCACGUGGAUGAGGCAGUCACUGACCUAUUCGAUUGUCUUGAUAAGGGAAUCACACCUAUACCGGUAAUAUUGACCGAGACGUUCAGAUCCUUGAGCAUGUGUCGGAAGAUGGGCGAGGGGCGGUUUAUUGAAUGUGCACAGCUGUUGAUGGUGUGGUUUCAUGGGCAUUUUUGGAAAGUAGACAAGGUUUCUUACUGGGUCUUUUCUGAAGGUUAUUCCCCGUUAAAAGAAGAGGCAGCCAUACGAAGGAGAGAGGAUAUCUGGGAGGAGAAGUGGAUGGAAAUUCUUCAAAACCUCAAGGAGGGGGAUAUAGAGUGGAGAGCAUUUUGGAUGGUUCCCGAUAAGAUUCUAUAUCGAUGUGGGAACUUUGAUUAGGUGUCGUUGUUAGGAAUUUGGGGAGCUACUAGGUAUACUCCAUGGCUUGCAUUAAGGCAAUACAAAUCGAGGCAGUUUGUACCCACGACUUACGGGCUUGCUCAAUGUGAAUUCUUUUAUAAAGGUGACCACUAUAAGAGGAAAGUUCGAGAAUUAUCUGAUGCUUAGAAGCAAACUCGCUGGAUGAAGAGGCUGGCUAUCGGUUCCAUGGUGACACCUGAAUACAAUGGAUGGUUUAGGAAGAUGGUCAAUGAUAAUAUUCCUAGACCAAGUGUAGAAAGCACUCGACCUGUGAAGGAACAAUUACAAGUUGCCCCGUCAGAGUUGGAAAUUAUAAAACAAGACUUCGAGAAGAAAAGUUUUGAGCUUGGGAAAAAGAUCGAACAAUUGGAGGAAGAAAAUAUGCAUCUGAAAUUAGACGUAGACGUUCAGAGGUCAGGACUGAGAAGUGGAGAAAAGGGAAAAGUAAGGCCGAAGAAGAUCUAGACAGUUUGAAAAUAGAUUAUUAGAAGUUACGCAUGUCUAUGAGGACUGCUGGGUUAGGUAAAACUUCAAAGCAAUGGCGCCAUGAAAUUCGAGUGGAAAAGACCAAGGCCGACUGAUAGGAAAGGAAAUUUCGAGAGGCUCAGGCACGAAAUGAGGAUUUAGAGAAGAGUCUGUCAGAAAGUAGAAAUGAACGAGGUGAAUUAAGGGCUAGAGUGGAAGAACUUGAGAAGUCUCUUCAUCAGUAUCGAAAUCGUAAUACCGUAAUGGAGUUGAGGGCAAGCCUGAGUAAGGUGGAAGAACUGAAAGAAAAAGUAGAAAAUUAGAAGCGUCACUACAAAGCUGUGAGAUGCGGGUCCAGUUUUUCGAAGCAAGUGAGGAACGGUGGAAGGAACAGCUUCACCAUGCACAAGACCAAGUCAGGAAUAGGGAUUACAUUAUGGGGGAAGCCAUAACCCAGAUUCGGGAGGUGGCCGAAUACUUGUAAGCUUUAGCAGUACAAGUGGACACAUUGAGUGUGAAGUACGAGUUGGAGUCCGAUCGAGGGCAGGAGCUAGCCUCGUUGCUUAGGAAAAUUAAGGCUCUGAGCAUUAGGGCGAAGUUUUAUUUGUAACUCAGUUUUAUGUAAAGAUUUUUAUUUUCUAGUGAAGUUUUCUAAAGGGAAUUGAAUCAAAAUUGAUGUCUCCUUUGCAUUCAUGCAUUUGCAUUGCAUUACAUCAUAUGCAUUAAAGGUCAUAAAAAGAUUCUAAUUAAUUAAAAAUUAUUUCAGUAAUCUAGAAACCAAUGAAAACCAACCAACUACGCACCCCUACGGUACAAGGAAAAAGACCAAGUCAAUGGACAAAAGACUUGAGAAAUUGAAGCAAAUGCAAAAGGACAUGCAGGAACAAAUGCAGUCACAGAUGCAAGAGUAGCUAGCCAAGAUUUAGCAAGAGAUGAAAGAGCAAAUGAUGGAAUCCCAAAGAGAGAUGAUGAGUCAGUUGUCCCAAUUGUUGAUGAGAAGAAUAGAUAAAGGAAAGGGUCCCAUGGACAAUGUUGGGGAAAAUAAUGAAGACCCUCAAUAUCCUCCUGGCUUCACUCUGACACAUGUACCGACACAACCUGAGAUUAAUCUGUAAAGACCAUCUGUUACGAUCAGGCCUCAACAGAUUCAGGCCGAAGUUGCGAUGCCAAUAAAUUUCCAAGCCGACUCAGGCUCUAACCCUGUUAAUAACUUGAAUUAUCCACUUGUUCCUGAUUUGGAUGAAGUUGCAGAGGAGAAAAAGGCAAUGAUGGAAUCACAAAAGAAAUUAGAGGAACAGUGUAAAUGGCUGGAGGAAAAAUUCUGGGCAAUGGAAAUCCCAGAUAGCCAUCACGGAGUUGACGCUAAGGACCUGAGUUUGGUCCCAAACUUGGUCCUUCCCCCCAAGUUCAAAAUGCCUGAAUUUGAGAAGUACAAUGGAACGAGCUGCCCUGAAGCUCAUAUUACUAUGUUUUAUAGGCGAAUGACUGGAUACGUCAACAAUGACCAGCUAUUGAUUCACUGCUUCCAGGACACUGUGAUUGGGGCGGCAUCCAAAUGGUAUAACCAAUUGAGUCGUGCUAAGAUUAACUCAUGGAAAGACCUAGCUCAAGCCUUUAUGAAAUAGUAUAAUCAUAUGACAGAUAUGACUCCUAACAGGAUUACUCUCCAGAAUAUGAAGAAGAAGCCAAAUGAAAGUUUCAGACAGUAUGCGUAAAAAUGGAGAGAAGUUGCCAUACAAGUUUAGCCGUCACUUUUAGAAAAAGAAACUACGAUGCUCUUUAUCAACACUUUGAAGGCUCCUUUAUCACUCAUAUGUUAGGGAGUGCCACUAAAAGCUUCUCAGACAUAGUGAUGACAGGUGAAAUGAUUGAAAAUUCUGUGAGGAGCGGCAAAAUAGAAGUAGGGGAAAGUACCAAAAGAUUAGCCCCGAGGAAAAGAGAUAACGAAGUGAACAACACGAGCACAUUUAGCAAGGGUCAGUCCAAGUCACUCACUGUAAACCAACCAAAGACGGUGACUACUAAUCAACAUAGCACUGUGAGAAAGAAUCUAGCUCGAGGGCGAACACAGAAAGACUACAGUUCACGCCCAUGCCCAUGACGUAUAGGGAUCUGUACUAGAACCUAUUCAACGCUCAUGUAGUGUCCCCUUUCUACCUGAAGCCACUUUAACCCCUGUUUCCCAAAUGGUAUGACACAAACGCCCAAUAUGAAUACAAUGCGGGAAUCACCGGGCAUUUGAUCGAAAACUGCACCGCGUUCAAGAAACUAGUUAAAAGAUUUAUUAAAAUAGGUAUAGUAAGGUUUGACGACCUAGCCGUACCCAAUGUAGUAAGAAACCUGCUCCUCAAUCAUACCGACUAAGGAGUAAACGGGAUAAACGAAGGCAGAAUCAAGAAGAUCAAAUAUGAGGUUGUAGAAGUCAGGAUCUCAUUGAGACAUGUGUGGAAGGAAAUGGUCAAGAGAGGAUUGAUCAUGUUGGAUUCGAGAGAAAAAUCUGAAGAAUAGAGGAACUAUUGUGAGUUCCACAAUGAGGUGGGGCAUGAAAUUCAAGAGUGUGUGGAGUUCAGGACCCUAGUGCAGGACAUGAUAAACAAUAGAGAAAUGGAGUUUUAUGAAGAAACCGAAAACCCCGGAGAGGGAGACAUAUGCGCGUCAGAGGGAGAAUCGACGGUGCAGAACCAAACAGUUAACUACCCCGUGGUCAUUAUAUUAUGACCCAAAAAUAAUGAAGCAGGAGUGCAAAUGCCACCGAGAGUCAUAAUCCAAAGACCUGUAGUCUUCCCUUAUAAAGACAGUAAGAGGGUCUCAUGGAAUUACGACUGUAACAUAACGAUUCCAGGAAAAGAGAACCUGGCUGACGCUUCAAAAGAAGACCAAGAUAGAGGCUCCUAUACACGUAGCGGGAGACGCUACGAUUCAACAAUCGAGAAAGCAAGACCCGUAAAAGGAAAAGCCAUAGUGGUCGAACAGAUGAAGGAAAAAGCGGCCAAAUCUGAACUUCUUGUUAAUGAGCCGGUUAACGAAGAGGAGGCUAAAGAGUUUCUAAAAUUUCUAAAGCACAGCGAGUACAGUGUUGUGGAACAACUACGUAAACAAUCAGCUCGUAUCUCGGUGCUGGCCUUACUCCUAAGUUCGGGAGUCCAUCGCAGCGCGCUGAUGAAGGUUUUAAAUGAAACGUAUGUUGCUAAUGAUAUCUCCGUCAACAAGCUAGAGUUCUUAGUUAGCAACAUAAGUGCCGAUAACUUUAUUUUCUUCAAUGACGACGAUAUACCACCUGGUGGCAUGGGGUCGACUAAAGCUUUACAUAUCACCACGCGUUGUAAGGGAUAUACGCUACCAAGAGUACUGAUUGACAAUGGGUCAGCCUUGAAUAUCCUACCAUUGUCCAUGCUAAACAGAUUACCUGUAGACAGCUCUCACAUGAAAGAGUGCCAAAAUAUAGUGAGGGCAUUCGAUGGUACAAAAAGAAGGGUGAUGGGAAGAAUUGAGAUACCUCUUCUGAUCGGGCCAAACACAUAUGAGGUGGAUUUCCUGAUGAUGGAUAUCAAGCCUUUAUACAACUGCCUCUUGGGGAGGCCCUGGAUACUUUCAGCUGGGGCAGUGCCUUCAUCGUUGCAUCAGAAGUUGAAGUUAGUAUCAGAGGGGCGGUUGAUGACAAUAAAUGCUGAAGAGGAUAUCAUUGUAGCUGUAAGCAAUGACGCACCCUAUUUGGAGACAGAUGACGAAGCAAUCGAAUGCUCAUUUCGGUCUUUGAAAUUUUUUAAUGUAACAUUCAUUACUGAGGGGAGCAAAAUUCUGACGCCGAAAUUAUCCAAAACUACAAGAAUGAGUCUACAGUUGAUGGUUAGAAAAUGAGCUCUACCGGGAAGAGGACUCAGGAGACAUCUUUAAAGAAGGGUUGAAACGCCAGUAUUAAAGGACAAGAGAGACCGCUUCGGCUUAAGAUUUAAGCCGGAUGCAAGACAAAGGAAAAAGGAGCUAGAAAAGAAACAAAAAAGAAGUAGAGCACAAUUGAAGAGGGAGAAAAUCAAAUGGAAGCCAAUGAUAUUCCCCCAUACAUCGAAAACUUUUGUGUCUGGAGGAAUCAUUCAUCUCGAGCGGGGCACGCCAAGAAAAGAAUCCAUAGAAGAAAAGUUGGAAAACUUAUACAUUAAAGCCACAUACGAAGAAGGGGCUGGAGGAGAAAAUUUGUCGGGCAUUUUCUCCUACAUACCUAGAAGUGUUCUGGAUAACUGGACUGCGGAAGAGAUUACUGUAGUUUUUAGAGCUGACUCAAAGUAAUGUCUAAAACACACUUAUUGCUCUAGGCCUAGGAGUAAUAAGAAUCUUUUGUGAAAUAGGCUUAUGUACAAAAACGUUAUUUCAAUAAAAUGCACAGUUAUUAUCAUUUUGAGUAGAUAUUCUUUCAUUCUCUCUAUUUCAUUCAUAAUCAUAUGAUACAAAUGAUUACUUUCGGAUUCUUUUGUCCUUCGGACAUUUUUCUAAAUAUUCUUUCGUUCUUCAUUUAUAAUCAUACCAUACAGAUAAUUAUUCUUAAAUUCUUUUGGUUCUUUGUAUCUUUCUUCAUCCUCAUAACAGAUUCCCAGAUAUCAAUUAUAUGAGUGACACUGCUAGUGGCUCAGAGUCUCCUUUUGAGCAAGAUAUAUGUAUAGAGGAUUCUCAGGAUUUCAAAGAUGACCAAGGCUGUAACCUAUCUCCUGAUCUAUUGAGGAUGGUAGAACAAGAUGAGAAACAAAUCUUACCUCACAAAGAAUCAAUAGAAAUUGUAAGCUUAGGAGAGGGACAAGAGGUGAAGAUCGAAACUUGUAUCACCAUAGAGAUUAAGCGAAACCUUAUCGAAUUACUUCAAGAAUUCAAAGAUGUCUUUGUAUGGUCAUACCAAGAUAUGCCCGGGUUGAACACCGAUAUCGUGGUGCAUCGACUCCCCAUAAAGGAAGAAUGUAAGCCGGUUUAGCAAAAACUCCAUAGAAUGAGGCCCGACGUCUUGCUAAAAAUAAAAGAAGAGGUCAGAAAGUAGUUUGAUGCUGGAUUUUUAAAGGUGGUAAAAUACUCAUAAUGGGUAGCCAACAUCGUCCCCGUCCCUAAGAAAGAUGGAAAAGUAUGAAUGUGUGUAGACUAUAGAGAUUUGAAUAAAGCCAGCCCGAAAGAUAAUUACCCACUUCCUCAUAUUGACACCCUAAUGGACAACACGGUAGCACACUCACUAUUUUCUUUCAUGGAUGGUUUCUCCGGAUAUAACCAGAUCAAGAUGCAUCCUGAAGACAUGGAGAAGACCACAUUUGUAACCAUAUGGGACACGUUCUGCUACAAGGUGAUGCCAUUUGGACUGAAAAAUGCGGGGGCAACAUAUCAAAGGGCCAUGGUAACCCUGUUUCACGACAUGAUGCAUAAAGAAAUCGAAUUUUAUGUCGAUGAUAUGAUCGCAAAGUCCCGAACAGAGAAGGAGCACGUACAAGUCCUGAGGAAGUUGUUCUUAAGGUUGAGGAAGUUUCAGCUAAAACUCAAUCUAGGCAAAUGUACCUUCGGAGUCAAGUCUGAAAGCUUCUUGGAUUCGUGGUUAGUGAGAAAGGGAAUGAGAUCGAUCUAGGAAAAGUCAAAGCCAUACAAGAGUUAUCUCCGCCGCGUACCCAGAAAGAGGUUCGAUGUUUUCUAGGAAGAUUAAAUUACAUCAGUCGGUUCAUUUCACAACUAACCGAGAAAUGUGACCCUGUUUUCUGCCUCCUCAAGAAACACAGCCCAGAUGUAUGGGAUGAAGAACGCCAAAAGGCUUUCGACAAGGUCAAACGGUACUUAUCCAACGCUCUGGUGCUGAUGCCACUUAACCCCGAUAAACCAUUGAUACUGUAUUUGGCAGUAUUUGAGAAUUCCAUGGGAUGCGUACUUGGUCAGCAUGAUGAGUCAGGAAGGAAAGAAAAAGCUAUUUACUAUCUUAGUAAAAAGUUCACUGAAUGUGAGACAAAAUAUCCGCCGGUAGAAAAGUUGUAUUGUGCCCUGGUUUAGACAAUCCGAAGGUUGAGGCAGUAUAUGUUGUACCACACUACCUGGCUCAUCUCAAAACUCGACCCUUUAAAGUACAUGAUGGAGUCAACAGCUUUGAAUUAAAGGAUGACCCGAUGACAAAUUCUGCUUUCUGAAUUUGACAUAGUCUAUGUGAACCAGAAAGCAGUAAAAGGGAGUACAAUAGCAGAUUUUCUAGCCAGUAGAGCUUUGGAAGAUUACGAGCCCUUGAAUUUCGAUUUCCCGAAUGAAGACCUGAUGUGUGUUACGACCACUGAAGAAGGUGCUCUAGAAGAACUUCCCUGGAAACUAAACUUCGAUGGGGCAUCAAAUCCUGUGGGUAAUGGAAUUGGGGCAGUCUUGGUGUCUCUGAACGAAUAUAAUUAUCCAUUUACUAGUAAAUUGGAUUUUAAUUGUACGAAUAACAUGGCAGAAUAUGAAACGUACAUUAUGGGUAUCCGUGCAGCUAUAGAAUGCAGGAUUAAAGUGUUAGAGGUGUAUGGAGAUUCUGUGCUAGUGAUUUAUCAACUUAAGGGAGAAUGGGAGACCAGAGAUCCCAAGUUGAUCGAUUAUCGAAAACUGGACUUUAAAUUGGUUAAAGAGUUCGAUGACAUUACCUUCCGCUACCUUCCACGGGACGAAAAUUAGAUGGUCGAUGCUUUGGUCACCUUAGCUUCCAUGAUCAAGGUGAACAAAUAAGAAGAUGUCAAAUCCAUCUGGAUGAGCAUUUAUGAAACUCCGACUCACUGUUACAAUAUUGAAGAAGAUGAAGAAAAAGAUGAUCACCCUUGGUAUCAAGAUAUAUUGCAAUACGUAAGGAAUCAUGAGUACCCGGACCAGGCAAGCGAGAAUGACAAAAGGACGCUAAGAAGAUUGGCCAUUGACUAUGUCUUAGAUGGGGAGAUCCUAUACAAAAGAAGAAAGGAUCAAGUGCUAUUAAGAUGCGUAGAUGCUGUAGAAGGUAAGAAAAUCUUAGAAGAAGUCCAUGAGGGUGUCUGUGGGGCACACGCUAAUGGCUUUACAAUGGCUAGGAAAAUUAUGAGAUUUUGGUAUUAUUGGUCCACUAUGGAAGGGGACUAUGUCAAUUACGCUAAGAUAUGUCAUAAAUGCCAAAUCUAUGGAGACAAAAUUCAUGUGCUUCCUUCACCGCUACAUGUCAUGACUUCCCCAUGGCCUUUCUCUAUGUGGGGUAUGGAUGCGAUUGGACCAAUAUCACCGAAAGUUUCCAAUGGGCAUCGGUUUAUCUUUGUGGUUAUCGACUACUUCAACAAAUGGGUGGAAGCCGCUUCAUAUGUUAAUGUUACAAAGUCGGCAGUGAGCAAAUUCCUAAAAAAAGAGAUCAUAUGUCGAUAUGGAAUACUGAAGAGGAUCAUAUCUGACAAUGCAUUAAACUUGAACAAUAGUACGAUAGCAGAAGUCUGCAGUCAAUUCAAUAUCAGACACCACAACUCGUCACCAUAUCACCUGAAAAUGAAUGGGCCAGUGGAAGCGGCCAAUAAAAAAUAUUAAGAAGAUUGUGGGGAAGAUGAUUGAGACCUACAAAGAUUGGCAUGAGAAGUUACUAUUUGUCAUCUUUACUUAUCGAACAUCAGUCAGAACCUUUACUGGGCAACGCCUUUCCCUUUGGUCUACGGUAUGGAAGCGGUUUUGCCAAUCGAAGUUGAAAUCCCGUCCCUUUGAGUGUUGUUGGAGCUAAAGUUAGAUGAAGCAGAGUGGAUCCAGUCUCGAUAUGAUCAAUUGAACUUGAUUGAAGAAAAGAGGCUAAGAGCUAUCCGUCAUGGUCAGAUGUACCAAAAACAAAUGAUGCGAGCCUGUGAUAAAAAGGUUCGUCCUAGGGAAUUCCAUGAGGGGGACCUGGUCUUGAAAAGAUCCUUCCCAUACAAAAAAAUUUCAGAGGGAAAUGGAUGCCAAACUGGGAAGGACCUUAUGUGGUAAAGAAAGCUUUUUCUGGAGGAGCAUUGAUCCUAGUCGAGAUGGAUGGUAAAAACUUGUCCAAUCUUGUGAAUUUGGAUUCCGUCAAGAAGUAUUUUACCUAAAGAGAGAGAGGCCAGAGUGAAAACCCACAAAUGGUGCUUUGAGACCCCCCCAAAAAAAGAUGGAGAGGCCAAGGUGAAAACCCGCAAAGGGCGCUUUGUGACCAAAUGGGUUUUUGAGUUGAAAACCCGAAAAUGGGCAGCUCAAAUUUUAAACAUGAGGCAUGCGGUAGUCUUGACCUCCCAAAUUAACAAGAGGGAAGGACAAUACAUCUCGGAGCAUCAACAAAAUACGCGGGAUCUCCUGAACGCAUAUUUAGCUCAAAAUGGCUUUUGAGAAGUUAGAAUAGAGAAGCUCGUGCUGCGAUAUCUGGGGCACCUUUUUCUCAUCUUAUUUUGUACCUUAGCAGAUUUACUAUAUUGUUUAAUUUAUUCACUUUGAGUUUUGCUCAAUAAAAUUCCAUCUUGUCCAUUAUGAUAGUCUCUUUCGAGCAUUUUUGUUGAAAUCACGAUUUUUGGACUUAUAAUAUUCACACAAAAGAAGUUACGCAUAUUACUUUGGAAGGUCUCUAAAUAGUACAAGGACCUGAACCAGGGUCACUAGUCAAGACUAACCAGAUUCAAAAGUUGGAAACAUUGGAAAAAGAAUAAUCCAAAUUGUGAAUAUUUCUUCAAAUUUUCUGUCAAACAUACCGACUAAACAAGAAAACACGAUAGCACAUCAAUGAUAGAACCCUGAUGAACUAUGAGCAAUGAUACCUUAAGCAUUUAAAAAUGAAUCACUUUCAUGGCAUUUCUACAUUCAUAAUCAUUUAUCUAGUUAGGAGCAUUUGACUCAUUUUGAUCAUGGCAUCCUAAUUAUUUGGCAUAAACAUAGGUACAGGAAACCAAUUCUACAGGUCAUGUCCCUAGAAGACGGUGUAGCAACAUCGGAGAGUUCGCAGAUCUUAUCUCCCUAAGCAGUAGUGGAGCGGAUCAAAGACGGUGAGCCUUAACCCCCUAAGUAGUAGGGUAACAGGCCGAAAAUUACAGAUCUUGUCUCCCUAAGCAGUAGUGGAGCAAAUCGAAGACGGUGAGCCUUAACCUCCUAAGCAGUAGGGUAACAGGCUGAAAAUUACAAGUCUUAUCUCCCUGAAGUUGCAGUGGAGCAGACUAAAGUUAGCAGAUCUUAUCUCCCUGAAGUUGCAGUGGAGUAGAUCGAAGUCACAAUCCUUAUCUCUGUGAAGUUGCAGUAGAUCAAGAUAAAAAUUACAAGUCUUAUCUCCCUGAAGUUGCAGUGGACAAUUGUAGUGGAGCAGACUAAAGUUAGCAGAUCUUAUCUCCUUGAAGUUGCAGUGGAGCAGAUCAAAGUCACAAUCCUUAUCUCUCUGAAGUUGCAGUAGAGCAGGAUAAAAAUAUACGAACCAUACCUCUCUGAAGUUGCAGUGGAGCACAUUGGAGAUACUUGAAGAAAAGAAGCGCCAAGAAGAGUCGAGACUCAGUGGGUCCAGGCAAAAUUGGCCUUUUUAUAGUCUUUGCUACAUUCUCGUUACACGACAAUGAGCAAAGAGGGGCAGCUGUAAUGCCCAAUUUUAGCCCGGGCCCAGCACUAAAAAUAAACAAUUAAAAAAUACAAAAAAAAAGAAGAAGAAGAAAACCAAAAUAAUUAAACAAAAUGUCCACAGUCCAGGUCUUUAGUACAAAAUAGCCCAAAUAUACUGUACAAGCCCAAUAUUCAACCCAGCCUAAGUCUACUAAGACCCUAAAACCAAAUUAACCCAAUUACAGCCCAAAGUUAUAAGGCCCAAACGUCCCAAAAUACUUUAGAAAAAAAAAACCCUAGGGUUUCUCUCCCUUGCGCUGCAGCCUUCAGCCACCGUACAGCCCCAACGCCGUUCGUGCCUCCAAGUCAACACGCCGUACGCCACCCUCAUGCUUAGUGCCAGCACACGCUCCCUACCUGUGAAAGAAAACAAGAAAAUAAGAAAACAGCAGCAGAGCAACAACCAAUAGAGAGAACAAAAAUUAUUGUAUUUUUUUCUUUUGAUUAUCUAUAAAGCCCUUUUAUUUUUUAUUGUAAGGGUUCCUUUUUUUUACACGCACAUUAAGCACACUAAAAUACAUACUGAAUAGAAAAUUCGAAAGCAAUUGCAAGAAGGUGAUUUCGAAUGACUUGUAUUUAUUUCUUUCACAUCUGUUUCAUCUUCCUUUCGUGUUUCGCAUGUGUUUUUUAGUAUAGUGAAGUAAAAAAGAAAACAUACCUUCAAACGAGCCAUCGGAGACCAUAUCUUCUUCGUUGAAAUCGAAGCUUGAGAUAGGAUUUCGGGGCUAAAAAUCUGACCUUCUGUGGCGAAUUUUAGAAUAGAGAAAUGGAUCGAUUUCAUUGCUAGCCAUUAUCCGUUGAUUUCAAUGGUGGAAUAGUGGCAGUUGAAUGGACAAAGGGGGAUGGAAAAGCCUCAAAGCUGCGGCGCCGAAACCCUAGCAAAU